rnacentral:rRNA from 1 species
GGUGUAGGGGUGAAAUCCGUGAUAUCGAGGGGAAUACCAAAUGCGAAGGCAACUAACUGGCACUUUCUUGACGCUGAGGAACGAAAGCGUGGGUAGCGAACGGGAUUAGAUACCCCGGUAGUCCACGCCCUAAACGCUGUCUGUUGGCUUUUGGAGGAAUCGACCCCUUCAGAGGCGAAGCUAACGCGUUAAACAGACCGCCUGGGUAGUACGAGCGCAAGCUUAAAACUCAAAGGAAUAGACGGGGGCUCGCACAAGCGGUGGAUCAUGAGGCUUAAUUCGUCGAUAAGCGAAAAACCUUACCAAGGCUAGAAAUUAUACUGCACGCUCCGGGAAACCGGAGAAGCCUUCGAGGGUGUAUAACAGGUGAUGCAUGGCCGUCGUCAGUUCGUGCUUUGAAGUGUUCCCUUAAGUGGGGAAACGAACGCAACCCUCGUUGCCUGUUACAAGUGUCAGGCGAGACUGCUCCCUCACGGGAGAGGAAGGUGAGGAUGACGCCAGGUCAGCAUGUCCCUUGAUGCCUUGGGCUGCACUCGUGAUACAAUGGGAAGUACAAAGGGACGCAAUAUAGUAAUAUGGAGCAAAUCCUGAUAAAACUUUCCCCAGUUCGGAUUGUGGGCUGCAACUCGCCCACAUGAAGUUGGAAUCGCUAGUAAUCGUGAAUCAGCACGUCACGGUGAAUACGUUCCCGAGCCUUGUACUCACCGCCCGUCAAGUCAGGGGAGUCGGAAGUGCCCGAAGGUCGUCCUAGCGGCGAACUACGGUAAAUUCGAUAACAAGGACUAAGUCGUAACAAGGCACGGCUAGCGGAAGCUGGUCGUG